rnacentral:rRNA from 1 species
GACGAACGCUGGCGGCGUGCCUAAUACAUGCAAGUCGAACGCUUCUUUCCUCCCGAGUGCUUGCACUCAAUUGGAAAGAGGAGUGGCGGACGGUUGAGUAACACGUAGGUAACCUACCCAUCAGAGGGGGAUAACACUUGGAAACAGGUGCUAAUACCCCAUAACAGUUUAUGCCGCAUGGCAUAAGAGUGAAAGGCUCUUUCGGCUGUCGUUCAUGGAUGGACCCGGGGUGCAUUAGCUAGUUGGAGAGGUAACGGCGCACCAAGGCCACGAUGCGUAGCCGACCUGAGAGGGUGAUCGGCCACACUGGAACUGAGACACGGCCCAGACUCCUACGGGAGGCAGCAGUAGGGAAUCUUCGGCAAUGGACGAAAGUCUGACCGAGCAACGCCGCGUGAGUGAAGAAGGUUUUCGGAUCGUAAAACUCUGUUGUUAGGGAAGAACAAGGACGUAAGUAACUGAACGUCGCCUGACGGUAUCUAACCAGAAAGCAACGGCUAACUACGUG